ACAAGAAUUCGGGAUUUUGGCGACUGAAAUUACCGACCACUAAAAAAGUAGUCGUAAAUAAGUUAUUUACCGACCAUUUUAAAAGUAGUCGGUAAUUACCGACCGUUUUUAUGUUAGUCGGUAAAUUACCGACCAUUUUUGGAUAGUCGAUAAUUUACCGACCAUAUUUCUACAUUUACCGACCACUUUGGUGUUUUUUAUUUUCGAAAAAAAUAAGAAACUCAGUUGUACCUUUACCGACCAUUUUGGUGUUUUUUAUUUUCGAAAUUAUAAGAAACUCAGACCACUUUGGGCUGUCUCUCCCAUUAAACCUAGCCCAUAUAAAGGAGAAAACCUAAACACUUCUCUCUCUCCUUCCAGCCGUUCAGAAACCUAAACACUCCUCUUUCUUCUCUCACCUCCCUCUUCCUUCCCUCUCCUCCCAGCCGUUCAGAAAUCCUAAACCACAACGACAUUGAUCAACCAAAAUCGAUUGAAAAUUAGCUUAAAACAAUUAAACUACCUGAUUUUUUAGGAAUAGAGCAGCUCUAAUUCUCUAAACAAGGUCUGAUAAUCGAAAAUGAACACGGAGUGGUCUGAUCUUUGCAACCGUCUGAUUAUCAUCAACGACGAAGCUCAAAGAAGAACAUAGAAGUGCAAAAAGGAGAUAUAAUUGAAGGAGAUUUAAUUUGUUAGGAAUUUUUUUUAUUAAAAAUUAACAAUCGGUGUUAGGAAUUGUUAGAGAUCUGUACUUGUAUUAACACUUUUUAUUGAAUAUAAUUUUUUUGAUUAUUUGUGA